UACGUAGGGGGCAAGCGUUGUCCGGAUUUAUUGGGCGUAAAGGGCUCGUAGGCGGCUCAGUAAGUCGGGUGUGAAACCUCCAGGCUCAACCUGGAGACGCCACUCGAUACUGCUGUGGCUAGAGUCCGGUAGGGGAGCAUGGAAUUCCUGGUGUAGCGGUGAAAUGCGCAGAUAUCAGGAGGAACACCGGUGGCGAAGGCGGUCUGCUGGGCAGUGGCUCGCAAGGGCCAAUAGCCGACACUGAGGCGCGACAGCGGUGGGGAGCAAACAGG
rnacentral:rRNA from 1 species